CCUCGGCGGGGUCACGCCCCGGGUGCGUCGCAGCCCCGGAACCAGGCGCCCGCCGGAGGAACCAACCAAACUCUUUCUGUAGUCCCCUCGCGGACGUAUUUCUUACAGCUCUGAGCAAAAAUUCAAAAUGAAUCAAAACUUUCAACAACGGAUCUCUUGGUUCUGGCAUCGAUGAAGAACGCAGCGAAAUGCGAUAAGUAAUGUGAAUUGCAGAAUUCAGUGAAUCAUCGAAUCUUUGAACGCACAUUGCGCCCGCCAGUAUUCUGGCGGGCAUGCCUGUCCGAGCGUCAUUUCAACCCUCGAACCCCUCCGGGGGAUCGGCGUUGGGGAUCGGGACCCCUCACACGGGUGCCGGCCCCUAAAUACAGUGGCGGUCUCGCCGCAGCCUCUCCUGCGCAGUAGUUUGCACAACUCGCACCGGGAGCGCGGCGCGUCCACGUCCGUAAAACACCCAACUUUCUGAAAUGUUGACCUCGGAUCAGGUAGGAAUACCCGCUGAACUUAAGCAUAUCAAUAAAGCGGGAGGAA
rnacentral:rRNA from 1 species